ensembl:snRNA U6 U6 spliceosomal RNA
GUCCUUGCUUCGGCAGCACAUAUACUAAAAUGCAAAGGAUACAGAGAAGAUUUGCAUGGUCCCUAUGCAAGGAUGACAUGCAAAUUUGUGAAGCAUUCCAUAUUUUU